rnacentral:rRNA from 1 species
AGUGAACGCUGGCGGUAGGCCUAACACAUGCCAGUCGAACGGCAGCACAGUAAGAGCUUGCUCUUACGGGUGGCGAGUGGCGGACGGGUGAGGAAUACAUCGGAAUCUACUUUUUCGUGGGGGAUAACGUAGGGAAACUUACGCUAAUACCGCAUACGACCUACGGGUGAAAGCAGGGGAUCUUCGGACCUUGCGCGAUUGAAUGAGCCGAUGUCGGAUUAGCUAGUUGGCGGGGUAAAGGCCCACCAAGGCGACGAUCCGUAGCUGGUCUGAGAGGAUGAUCAGCCACACUGGAACUGAGACACGGUCCAGACUCCUACGGGGGGCAGCAGUGGGGAAUAUUGGACAAUGGGCGCAAGCCUGAUCCAGCCAUACCGCGUGGGUGAAGAAGGCCUUCGGGUUGUAAAGCCCUUUUGUUGGGAAAGAAAAGCAGCAGGUUAAUACCCCGCUGUUCUGACGGUACCCAAAGAAUAAGCACCGGCUAACUUCGUG